rnacentral:tRNA from 1 species
UAGGGAGACCUAAUCCAUUUAGAACUCGAAAGCAAUGCAAAUUGUGAAUAGAAACUAAAUUGGUCUAACCUAGGUCGGUCGCAGACUUGAAGUAAAGCUUUCAAACUAUGGUUUGGUUCGAUAAGGGCUAUUAGCUCAGGUGGUUAGAGCGCACCCCUGAUAAGGGUGAGGUCCCUGGUUCGAGUCCAGGAUGGCCCACCUGAAGAAUUUUAGAUUGGCGAUUUUAGAUUUUAGAUUGAAAUAAACAACCAAUCCAAAAUCGCAAAUCCAAAAUUUAGUAGGGGGGUUUAGCUCAGUUGGUAGAGCGCCUGCUUUGCAAGCAGGAUGUCAGCGGUUCGAGUCCGCUAACCUCCACAUUUGGAAAAAAAACAGCAACUGAAACUAUUGACAUGAUAAUAGUUUUUGACUGCUGGGUUAAAUUCCAGCCAGAACCUUGAAAACUGCAUAAGAGAAAGAGAAAAAGCACCGCAGACACAGACAUUGAGAUGGAUGUGAAAGCAAACAAGAAGAAAUUGUGGUCAAGCUAAUAAGGGCACCGCGAGUGGUCAAGCUAAUAAGGGC